GGCUACCGCUAUUGGAGUUCGAUUAAGCCAUGCGAGUCGAGAGUCCUCGGGACUCGGCGUACCGCUCAGUAACACGUGGGUAACCUGCCCUAUGCUGGGGAAUAACCUCGGGAAACUGAGAAUAAUGCCCCAUAGCCCACUACGCCUGGAACGGUGAGUGGGUCAAAGCCCCGGCGGCAUAGGAUGGGCCUGCGCCGUAUCAGGUUGUAGGGGGUGUAAAGUACCCUCUAGCCAUCAACGCGUACGGGUGUUGGGAGACAUUGCCCGGAGAUGGAUUCUGAGACACGAAUCCAGACCCUACGGGGUGCAGCAGGCGCGGAAACUUGGCAAUGCGAGAAAUCGUGACCAGGGAACUCCAAGUGCGUAGGGUAAGACCUACGCUUUUCUUGACUCUUCAAAGGUCUUGGAAUAAGGGGUGGGUAAGGACGGUGCCAGCCGCCGCGGUAAUACCGGCGCCUCAAGUGGUAGUCGCUUUUAUUGGGCCUAAAACGUCCGUAGCCGGUCUGGUGCAUUCGUGGGUAAAUCAACCCGCUCAACGGGUUGAAUUCUGCGAGCACGGCCAGACUUGGGACCGGGAGAGGUGUGGGGUACUCUCAGGGUAGGGGUAAAAUCCUGUCAUCCUGAGAGGACCACCUGUUGCGAAGGCGCCACACUAGAACGGAUCCGACGGUCAGGGACGAAACCUAGGGGCACGAACCGGAUUAGAUACCCGGGUAGUCCUAGGUGUAAACGCUGUGGACUUGAUGUUGGGGGCGCUCCGAGCGCUCUCAGUGUCGAAGCGAAGGUGAUAAGUCCACUGCCUGGGGAGUACGGUCGCAAGGCUGAAACUUAAAGGAAUUGGCGGGGGAGCACUGCAACCUGAGGAUUGUGCGGUUU
rnacentral:rRNA from 1 species